AUACGUAGGUGGCAAGCGUUAUCCGGAAUUAUUGGGCGUAAAGAGGGAGCAGGCGGCAGCAAGGGUCUGUGGUGAAAGCCUGAAGCUUAACUUCAGUAAGCCAUAGAAACCAGGCAGCUAGAGUGCAGGAGAGGAUCGUGGAAUUCCAUGUGUAGCGGUGAAAUGCGUAGAUAUAUGGAGGAACACCAGUGGAGAAGGCGACGAUCUGGCCUGCAACUGACGCUCAGUCCCGAAAGCGUGGGGAGCAAAUAGGAUUAGAUACCCUAGUAGUCCACGCCGUAAACGAUGAGUACUAAGUGUUGGAUGUCAAAGUUCAGUGCUGCAGUUAACGCAAUAAGUACUCCGCCUGAGUAGUACGUUCGCAAGAAUGAAACUCAAAGGAAUUGACGGGG
rnacentral:rRNA from 1 species